CGCUAGCAAAAGCUUGAUGACUUGUACAAUUAUAUUUGACGUUGCACUGUGGGAUCAUUUAAGGCCAAUGAGAAGAUGCCACGUGGUAAAUCCCUUUCCAUCCAAAGUUAGGGUUUCAUAAUUGCAGAAUGGGAAAGGGUGUUAUCCACGACCGAUGGCAGUGAUGGAGAUUACAGUGGUGGCAGAGAAAGAUCCGGAAUUGAGGAACUGAAUAACAGUGAUGGAAUAUAAACUGCAGGCAAGUGAAGAUGUACAAAACUUUCCAAGAAGCUUCCAGAGAAAACCACACACUCUUUAAAAU
rnacentral:lncRNA from 1 species